rnacentral:rRNA from 1 species
UACGGAGGGAGCUAGCGUUGUUCGGAAUUACUGGGCGUAAAGCGCACGUAGGCGGCUUUGUAAGUUAGAGGUGAAAGCCCGGAGCUCAACUCCGGAACUGCCCUUAAGACUGCAUCGCUUGAAUCCAGGAGAGGUGAGUGGAAUUCCGAGUGUAGAGGUGAAAUUCGUAGAUAUUCGGAAGAACACCAGUGGCGAAGGCGGCUCACUGGACUGGUAUUGACGCUGAGGUGCGAAAGCGUGGGGAGCAAACAGG